UGUUUACUGCGUUUUCUGUGCCCUUUGCCUCGCUGUGACAUCUUUGGUAUAUUCCAACUUGUUGCUCGCUCUUUAUGGGCUACACGUUGCCUCGAAGAUCACCAUGAUCGCCUCCGACUCAGCCACAUCGAAGAAUCAAAAUGAGCCUGGAGACUCCACAGCCGGAAUGCGAAAGGUUGGAGAAGUGCUCAUUCAGAUGAUCCUGGCACAGCUUGCCAUGGUGGACCAGGCAAGUUUGCAAGGCAAGUUUGCAAGUUGAUUCACCAUGUGUUCACAAAGAAGAACCUCAUGGGCCACUCACUUCUCGGAAACAACACCACCAAUAUGCAAAAACGGGCUCUUGGCUU